UACGUAGGGUGCGAGCGUUGUCCGGAAUUAUUGGGCGUAAAGAGCUUGUAGGCGGUUUGUCGCGUCUGCCGUGAAAAUUCGAGGCUCAACCUCGAACUUGCGGUGGGUACGGGCAGACUAGAGUGUGGUAGGGGAGACUGGAAUUCCUGGUGUAGCGGUGAAAUGCGCAGAUAUCAGGAGGAACACCGAUGGCGAAGGCAGCUCGCUGGAACGGUACUGACGCUGAGGCGCGAAAGCGUGGGGAGCGAACAGG
rnacentral:rRNA from 1 species